GACGAAGGAUGCAAGCGUUAUCCGGAUUCAUUGGGUUUAAAGGGAGCGUAGGUGGCCUGCUAAGUCAGUGGUGAAAUCUCUGGGCUUAACCCAGAAAUUGCCAUUGAUACUGGUGGGCUUGAGUGCAGUUGCUGUUGGCGGAAUAUGACAUGUAGUGGUGAAAUACAUAGAGAUGUCAUAGAACACCGAUUGCGAAGGCAGCUAACAAAACUGUAACUGACACUGAGGCUCGAAAGUGUGGGGAUCAAACAGG
rnacentral:rRNA from 1 species